rnacentral:rRNA from 1 species
AUUGAACGCUGGCGGCAGGCCUAACACAUGCAAGUCGAACGAGCGGCGGACGGGUGAGUAAUGUCUGGGAAACUGCCUGAUGGAGGGGGAUAACUACUGGAAACGGUAGCUAAUACCGCAUACCAUCAGAUGUUCCCAGAUGGGAUUAGCUAGUAGGUGGGGUAAUGGCUCACCUAGGCGACGAUCCCGAGCUGGUCUGAGAGGAUGACCAGCCACACUGGAACGGAGACACGGUCCAGACUCCUACGGGAGGCAGCAGUGGGGAAUAUUGCACAAUGGGCGCAAGCCUGAUGCAGCCAUGCAGCGUGUGUGAAGAAGGCCUUCGGGUUGUAAAGCACUUUCAGCGGGGAGGCGUUACCCGCAGAAGAAGCACCGGCUAACUCCGUGCCAGCAGCCGCGGUAAUUC